rnacentral:rRNA from 1 species
GCCAGACUCCUACGGGAGGCAGCAGUGAGGAAUAUUGGUCAAUGGACGAGAGUCUGAACCAGCCAAGUAGCGUGAAGGAUGACUGCCCUAUGGGUUGUAAACUUCUUUUAUAUGGGAAUAAAAUGUUCCACGUGUGGGAUUUUGUAUGUACCAUAUGAAUAAGGAUCGGCUAACUCCGCGCCAGCAGCCGCGGUAAUACGGAGGAUGCGAGCGUUAUCCGGAUUUAUUGGGUUUAAAGGGUGCGCAGGCGGCGUGUCAAGCAAGCGGUAAAAUAGCGGGGCUCAACCCCGUCGAGCCGUUUGAACUGGCGCGCUUGAGUUCAGGCGAGGUAGGCGGAAUUCGUGGUGUAGCGGUGAAAUGCAUAGAUAUCACGCAGAACUCCGAUUGCGAAGGCAGCGCACCGGCGCCCUACUGACGCUCAGGCACGAAAGCGUGGGUAUCGAACAGGAUUAGAUACCCCUGUA